CCAAAUAACACCCCUAACCUUCCCCUCAAGCUCUCCAUAAGGGUUUCCAACAAGAUUAUCAUCCGGGGCACGAAAUCAAGUAGCGAUAACAUUAAAACGAUCUCUACGACAUUGAGUUGAGUUGUUUGAAGAGUAGCUUGGGAGGUAUUAAGGACUUGCCAUGAUUAAGGUCCCUAUUGAUAGGUUGACAUUCCUACGAGUAGGCUAUCAG